UACGGUAAUUUCAAGUUGAAACACCGGUUCCCGUACAAUAACGGAAGUUAAGCAACGUCAAACCUGGUUAGUACCUAAAUGAGUGACCGCCUGGGGAUACCAGGUGCCGUAAG